CCCUUAGAUGUCCGGGGCUGCACGCGCGCUACACUGAAGGAAUCAGCGUGGCUUUCUCCCUGACCCGAAAGGGUUGGGAAACCCGUUGAAUCUCCUUCGUGAUAGGGAUUGGGGCUUGAAAUUGUUCCCCAUGAACGAGGAAUUCCCAGUAAGCGCGAGUCAUAAGCUCGCGUUGAUUACGUCCCUGCCCUUUGUACACACCGCCCGUCGCUACUACCGAUUGAACGGUUUAGUGAGGGCCUCGGAUUGGUCUCGGCCCGCUCUUUACCGGGCGGCGCCGUUGGUCGAGAAGACGCUCGAACUUGAUCGUUUAGAGGAAGUAAAAGUCGUAACA
rnacentral:rRNA from 1 species